UUCUAUGGCUAUGCCACCCUGAACAAGCCCGAUCCCAUCUGAUCUCGGAAGCUAAGCAGGGUCGGGCCUGGUUAGUACUUGGAUGGGAGACCACCUAGGAAGACCAGGUGCUGUAGGUG
rnacentral:rRNA from 1 species